GGGAGAGAUGGCUGAGUGUACGAAAGCAGCGGAUUGUAAUUCGUUGUACGAGUUAUUUGUACCGAGGGUUCGAAUCCCUCUCUUUACGUUUCCG
rnacentral:tRNA from 1 species